CAGCAUCUCGGGUGGCCGGUGAUGCUGCUGCGGCUGGCGUUCGUGGGGCUGACGAUGACCCAGUUCGUCGGCGCGAUCGUCUACGCGGUGCUGU
rnacentral:tRNA from 1 species